GACGAACGCUGGCGGCGUGCUUAACACAUGCAAGUCGAACGGAAAGACCCUGCUUUUGUGGGGUGCUCGAGUGGCGAACGGGUGAGUAACACGUGAGUAACCUGCCCUUGACUUUGGGAUAACUUCAGGAAACUGGGGCUAAUACCGGAUAGGAGCUCCUGCUGCAUGGUGGGGGUUGGAAAGUUUCGGCGGUUGGGGAUGGACUCGCGGCUUAUCAGCUUGUUGGUGGGGUAGUGGCUUACCAAGGCUUUGACGGGUAGCCGGCCUGAGAGGGUGACCGGCCACAUUGGGACUGCGAUACGGCCCGGACGCCUACGGGAGGCAGCAGUGGGGAAUAUUGCACAACGGGCGGAGGCCUGAUGCAGCAACGCCGCGUGCGGGAUGCCGGCCUUCGGGUUGUAAACCGCUUCCGCCUGUGACGAAGCGUGAGUGACGGUAAUGUGUAAAGAAGCACCGGCUAACUACGUG
rnacentral:rRNA from 1 species